rnacentral:rRNA from 1 species
AACGAACGCUGGCGGCGUGGAUAAGACAUGCAAGUCGAACGGGAUAUCAUUUGUAGCAAUACAGGUGAUGUCUAGUGGCGUAAGGGUGCGUAACACGUGGGGAAUCUGCCGAGAAGUGGGGGAUAGCUCGCCGGAAGGCGAAUUAAUACCGCAUGUGAUUAGUGAAGACAUCUUCACGAUACCAAAGCCGGAGCAACCUGGCGCUUCUUGAUGACCCCGCGGCCUAUCAGCUAGUUGGUGAGGUAACAGCUCACCAAGGCUAUGACGGGUAGCUGGUCUGAGAGGACGACCAGCCACACUGGAACUGAGACACGGUCCAGACACCUACGGGUGGCAGCAGUCGAGAAUUUUUCUCAAUGGGGGAAACCCUGAAGGAGCGACGCCGCGUGGAGGGUGAAGGUCUUCGGAUUGUAAACUCCUGUCAUUUGGGAACAAUUGUUGGCGAUUAACUGUCGUCAGCUUGAUAGUACCAGAGGAGGAAGAGACGGCUAACUCUGUGCCAGCCGCCGCGGUAAGAC